rnacentral:lncRNA from 1 species
UAAAUCACUCCAUCAACCAUCAUCAAAGUAGUAUUUUCUAUCAUGAAAAACAAGAGAAACUCUAUAAAACUCAGUCCCGAAUAUGCCUCAAAGCAGUUUGUUUCCACCAUUAUUGUAUCCCAGUUGGAGUUCAAAAUUCAGAGAUUGGUAAUUGAUUGAGUGCGCUUUCCUUUCUCAAUGGCACAGCAAAUUGUUCGAGUUGAGGGUGCUGAUCGAGUCGCUGGAUUAUCGGUUCUUUUUCUUCACUGUAAUCCCACCAUGGGAGAUUCUUUAUUAACUGAAAG